CCGCGGCCGCCCCGCCACAGCCACGGGGGGAGGAGGCGGCAGCGCGCCUGCGCCGCCGGGCGCUGCCGACGAGGGAGGGAGGGAUGGACCCGCUGCCGCUCCCGGCUCCGGGGCCGGCUGUGAGUAUGGAGCGGGCACGGCUGCGGCAGAAACCCAAGAUGAUGCAUCUUUCCAGUAACUCCUGUAAAAAUGCACAAGAGACUUUGAACUAAAAUAUGGCCUGAAGAAAAUUAAUGAAGUUGUUAAUAGUCUGCAUCACAAAUGAAAAGACUGUGGAUGAUUCUGGUCUUUUCCUUCAGGCCUUGAGGAGUCAUGAAAAUGAAAGAAAGCUAAUUUUUCUAAUGGAGCAGGUUCUGUAAGUAAAAAAAAAAAAGAGGAAAAAAUCAAGAAAAAAACUAAAAUACAGACAUCUGAUGAUAAGAGCUGCUGCUGGUGGUGACCAGUGUUUUGUAAGCUGGAAUUUUCUUGAAUCUUAAUGGACCUUUUGACCUAAUUUACAGAGUCUUUCUUGUUAAUUAACUUUUUUGGAAAGGUCAAACCUUUUUUUUCUGCUAAAGGUCAUGUGCUUCAACUGAGAAAUAGUUUCUUAUCUACAGAACAAUACAGCAACAUAAAAUUCAGGUGUUUUUUUAUUCUGAACAUAUUAAUGAAUCACGAGCAAUAAGCCUGGAGUAUUUCACACCCUUUUGCCCUUUCCACGUUAAAUAAUCCCUUUUUGUGUUUGUCUGUGUCAAUGAUCACAGGGUCAUGCAGUUACCCAGCAGCAGGCUCAUCCACUGGAGCCUGGAGAUGGAUGUCAUUUCACACAGAAGGGAAAUGACAUUCCAAAAACCCACGUGGACCUGGUAAUUGUGAGAGAAGUGUGAGAAGAAUGCCCCGUGUAAAGCAAGGGUGCCACGUUUAGAUAAAAACUUUGAUUUCAGUAUCAGAAAUGCUGUGAAUGUUUCAGUUGAAUUUUGCAGGUUUUUUACUUCUGAAAAUGGUUGCUCCUCUUGGUCAUUCAGGUCAUGUGUUACCUGAGGGCUUACAGGCCUUACAUAAAGCACACCUCAAAUGGGAAUGGCUCUGCAGGAAUAUUGGCAUUUUCAAAUCAUUCUUCCUAUUUGGAUGAAAGCUGAAUGAACUGUCCCUUACAAAAAACUAAAGCAAGAAAACAGAAAAUGCUUUUUUGUUAAACUGGUGAACCUGCUCAGAACUAUUGGAGGGAAACAUUGCAAACUAGAGUGGUCAUAGGAUUUGUAAUAAUGUGUUAGGGGGAGAAAACUACCACUAUCCUAACUUGGGAAUUUCUCUGAGAGGAAACUAGGAUCCAUUCCACUUCACAAUUUCUUCAUGCAAACUACGUAAAAUAUUUUAUAAAACCUGAGUGAUUUCCAUAACAGAAUUUUGGCAGUUUAAAUCAAAACAUGUUGCUAUGACAGUUCCUACAAAUCUUUUAGCUUUGUUUUGUAUUAUAAUUAUGUCAAAAUGGAGCCAUUUCUGUCCAAACAAAAAUUUUCCAGGCUUUUUAAAAAUAUUUUUUAUUUGCCAAAGUCAAGGUGAAAGCUAAUUUCAAACGCUCUAAGUUACAUCUGCAUAACCAUAAACCACAAGGACAUAGCUUUAGUCUUAUAAAUAAGUAAUGUCAUUAGAUACAAUAUUCUUAGUUUAAUUGACUUUGUUGGCUGCUCUGUAUAACAGUGAUUGAAAAAUAAAAGACAUUUAACGUCGGUGAAACCUUUUCUAGUGGUUUCUGAAGUGGAAGUCAAUAAGCACAAGCCAUUGCCAGAAAAUGUUACCAGUUUUGGGGUUUGUUUCAGUAGUAGAAUGCUAAGUGAAGUCUAAGUGGGUACAGGGUACUGCAUCUAGUCCUUUGUAAAUAAAAAUCAGGUGAACUCUGAAAAGCAAAGAUAUAAAAAUAGCACAGAUUUGUCAUGCAGACAUCAUUGAUGAAACCCCACAUAAGGAACUCAUUUCAUUUUCUGCAGGUGAACCACUGUAAGUAAAAAAAGUGUCUUUUUAUAGGGGAUAUUUACCAAAUUCGCAGUUGAGUCUUUUCCUUCAGAGGUAUUGAAAGGACUGGGUAUUUUCAGAUUUUGGAUUGUUUUACAUCAGAAGACCAGAAGUGUAAGUUGGAGAAGGAGUUGCCAAAGGUAGACUUCACUUGUGCAGGGCAAUAAAAUUUAACUGAAUUACAGUUAAAGCAAUUUCUUGAAUUAAAAUUCAUAUAUAUUCCUCCCUUAAAUUAACCCAGAUGUGUCCUAUACAUGAGUAAGCAUGGAUUUAAUCACAGAUUAUCAACUGAUGGUAUCUCCUCAGAGGGGCUGACAUCUGUGUUGCUUUGUGCUGUGGUCUCUCAAAAUGUGGUUCAAGAACUACACCAUGGCAGAAAUAAACACUUGAAUUUUGUCAGGAAAUUAGAAAUCAUUUGAUUAGUGGCAGUUUGUUUUCUGGUGAAGUUGCUGAGAAAGAAGGAAAAGGGAAUAUCCCAAAGCAAAGAGCAACAUGUGCAGAGACCACACUGAAAUAAAAGCAACAGAGGGUGGAAUAUUCUGAAAAAGCAUCUGGAAAAGAACUGAUUUAAGAUCAAGAAGAUGAGGAACUGCAGGAGCCAGUGGUACCUAUAUUUUUUCAGCACAUGGUGAAAGGCUUUAUCCUCAAAGAAAUAGAACACUGACUUUUCUCUUGGUCUUUUCUACCCCAAGCCAUGGAGCUGUCUCAGAGACAUAAAAAGCAGUUGAGAAUGGAAGAGAAAGGUGGUCAAUAGAACUAUGAUGAGAUGUUAGGCAGUCCUAUGAAAAGUGAUUCUAAUCAUGAAAUAUGAGAAGAACUCCUGGUUUGGGGUUUUUUUCUCUAUUCAAGCUCUAGCUAACUUCACUCUUUCCUCCCCUGUGCACACUGACAUUAAUACAACUUCUGCAGUUGACUUGGAGGACCAAGAUACACUUAUUUUAUACUUUUAUUUUAAUGCUCCAGUGUUUUUUUCCUGUUAGCAGGUUAUAAAUGCAUUUGGGUUUGGGAGAGUUUGGAGUAAUAGGGAGUAAAAUGGAGAGUGCUCCUGGGAAAUUGCUUAUUUAUAUAAAGCUGAUGAGAAAACAAGUGUUUUAUGGGAGGGCCCUGACUCUCUUAAAGGAGAUUUGGCUCGAGGACAGGGUACUUGCUGGAGCUCACAUUUAGGUGUGUCUGUUACUGCUUUGUGUUGUGAGUUGAAAAACAAAAGUGUGUCAGGUGCUUUUUAUUAUGUAAUUUUUUCUCUUAAUUGUCAGCAUGUGUUGGGAGCAUACAGACUCAUUCUGUGAGCUUGUAUGUCCAGAGAGUUCUGCUGUCACUGAGCCAUCAGACAAUCAGCUGGGUUCUAGAUGUGGAAAAUACAUGUAAAAACUGGGAGUCAGCACAUGUAACACACCUUGUUUCAAGGCUCAACAGGUGUAAAUGCACCAAUAAAAAAGACAUGGGUAUUAUGAAUAUCUGUAGUUGCUACACUAGGUAUGAUCACAUUUGAGGGAGCAGAGUCAUAGAAAUAAGAGAAAAAGACAAAACAAAGAUGUUCCAGAAGAUAUGGAAAGAAAAACAAAAAAUUUACGCUUCAGUGUCUGAUUUUCUGAAGGUGAGUGGCCAAUACAGGCCAUCCCACAAGGUGCUCAACUGUGUGUUGCUGAUAAUUUCUCAACUUACCUAACAGUAAAACACUGUCAGAGUAGUUCAAAUCUGUGAUUUAUUUGACAUUGUAAAUGGUUUAAAAAUCUUACUAAUGAUUUAAGAAAAAGAUGUGCAAACAAGCAGAAAAAAAUGAGCAUUAUCUAAAAGUAAAUGUGGGUGUGGUGCCUUGACCCAUUUAGAAUAUUAAGAAGUACGCUGCAUUACAGUACUGAAUAUAUAUUUUCAUUAUGUAUUGAGUGGCCAAAAAUAUCUUAAGAGCCUUUUAAGGUAAUGUAUAAUAACAUCUCUUCCCCAAAAGUGGGUCAAGGCUUACAUAGUCUGCAUUUACAACGUGGGUCCCUCUUAAAAGGAAAAUCCCAGUGGUACAGAAGGAGCUAACACAGCAAAAGGGCCCAAAUCCUGUAUUUUGUGAUAUCCUUUGACCUUGGUCUGCCUAAACCCAGAGCAACAGCCACAGGAUGUGGUCUAGUAUAUAUUAAUGACAAAUUAUCUUGAGCUCUUUGUCUUCAGGGCUGCAGAAGUGCAAUGAUGAUGAUGAUGCUGCUGUGUACUGGCUCCUUGGUUUGCCUCCUGAUAAAAACUCCCUGUUUCCCAUUACAACAGCAACAGGAGCCUCUGGUGAUGAGAUGGAGGCUCCAGGUUACUGCCCACAGCACAGGGUUGUGUAAGAAUAAAGGAAUAAUGUGCUCUGAAUGUGACAUAACAAAGCACCUAACAGGAUUAGCAGUGGUGAAAAGGGAAGGAGUGAGCAAGAGUUUUGCCACAAGAUCCUCCAUUUGUUAAGAUCUUAAUUGUUGUGCCUGUUAUGAGUUGCACUGAAUCAUAAAGUUGUAAAUUACAAGGUAAUUGGCUGAGUUACAGCUGCAUGGACAUCAGAUAUGGGUUGAAACUGUAAAAGUAAGAUACUGAGCAAAUGAGCUUAAAUAAUACCCUGUUAAACAUCUCAGCUCUCCCUUUCAGUUUUUUUCCAAACAGGAAAAGUUUCAAGAGUGUUUUCUUAGUAGGCAAACAUUCAGGUAUUCCAAGACAUUCUAUUACACUGAGGACAUUUACUUUAAAUCUUUUUUCGCUGUAAGGUGACAGUGGUUAUCUCUUGAAAAAUUGCCUAAUCUCUUCUGUGUUUUAUCUCCAGAUUCCCUCUGAAAACUCUAUCAUUAUAAAUUGUAAUGAAACUCAACAAGUGACCAGAAUAGUAAUUGGCAGAAGACUUGGCAUCUUCAAAAUGGGACUUGGAUGCUUAGAUAGAUGUGGUGGAACAGAGCUGAACUGCCCUUCAUGGAGGCCCUUUAUGGAAAGGUUAUCAGCUUCUUGGAAGGGCAUAGCAAAGCCUCCAAGCACAAACCUAGCCCACUUUUCCAAAUAAACAGCUGCAGACAAGUCCUGGCUUCAUUGAUGGGAAUGGAAAAUUUCAGAGAAGCGCAGAAUGGUUGGGCUUGGAAGGAACCUCUGAAGAUCAUUUAGUCCAACCACUCCACUCGAGAAGGUUUUGAAUAUCUCCAAAGAAAGAGCUUCCACAACCUCCCCAGGCAGUCUGUUCCAGUGCUGUCACUCUCACAGGAAAAAUGUUUUCCUUCAUAUUUAGGUGGAACUUCCCAUGCGUCGGUGUGUCCCCACUGCCCAUUGUCCUGCGGCUGAGCACCACAGAAGAGACUCUGGCCCCUUCCUCUUGACACCUGCCAUUGAGAUAUUUGUGUGCAUUGAUAAAUCCCCUCUCAGUUGUCUCUUCUUGGGGCCCCAGCUCCCUCAGCCUUCCACUGUAAGGGAGAUGCUCCCAUCCCCUCAUCAUCAUUGCAGUCUCCACUGGACCCUCUCCAGAAGCUCCCUGUCCCUCUUGUCCUGAGGAGCCCAGAACUGCACACAGCCCUCCAGAUGUGCCUAACCCGAGGGCUGAGCAGAGGGGCAGGAUCACCUCCCUUAACCUGCUGGCAAUUCUGUAAUAAAUCCCAGGAUCCUGUUGGCCUUCUUGGCACAAAGACCCACUGCUUGUCAUGGACACUUGUUGUCCACCACGACCGCCAGGUCCUUCUCCCCAGAGCUGCUCCAUCAGGUCACCCCCAGCUGUGCUGGUGCCUGUGCUGGUUGUUCCCCCCUGGGUGCAGGACACUGCAUUUGCCUUUUGAAUUUCAGAGCUUUCCUAAAAUUCAGGACUUUUUUUUUUUUUUCCCCUGAAAAAGGAAUCAAGCACCAAUUACUUUUCUGAUAACUUUCCACUGGUAAAAUAAAUAAAAAAGUACCCGAUAUUUGUAAGGCAUUAUUUUACUCCUUUAAAUAUCACAGAAUUCUAAAAUGGU